rnacentral:rRNA from 1 species
ACUGGCUAAUCCCGGGAUGAGCCUGCGAGGUAAAAGAUUAAUUGCCUAAAGAGGAGCUCGCGUCUGAUUAGCUAGUUGGUGAGGUAAAAGCUCACCAAGGCGACGAUCAGUAGCUGUUCUGAGAGGAAGAACAGCCACACUGGGACUGAGACACGGCCCAGACUCCUACGGGAGGCAGCAGUGGGGAAUUUUCCGCAAUGGGCGAAAGCCUGACGGAGCAAUACCGCGUGAGGGAAGAAGGCCUUUGGGUCGUAAACCUCUUUUCUCAGGGAAGAAGUUCUGACGGUACCUGAGGAAAAAGCCUCGGCUAACUCCGUGCCAGCAGCCGCGGUAAUACGGAGGAGGCAAGCGUUAUCCGGAAUUAUUGGGCGUAAAGCGUCCGUAGGUGGCCUUUCAAGUCUGCGGUUAAAAACUAGAGCUCAACUCUGGGUCAGCCGUGGAAACUGAGAAGCUAGAGUACAGUAGGGGUAGAGGGAAUUCCCAGUGUAGCGGUGAAAUGCGUAGAGAUUGGGAAGAACACCGGUGGCGAAAGCGCUCUACUGGGCUUGUWCUGACACUGAGGGACGAAAGCUAGGGGAGCAAAAGGGAUUAGAUACCCCUGUAGUCCUAGCCGUAAACGAUGGAAACUAGGCGUAGCCUGUAUCAACUCAGGCUGUGCCGAAGCUAACGCGUUAAGUUUCCCGCCUGGGGAGUACGCACGCAAGUGUGAAACUCAAAGGAAUUGACGGGGGCCCGCACAAGCGGUGGAGUAUGUGGUUUAAUUCGAUGCAACGCGAAGAACCUUACCAGGGCUUGACAUCCCGCGAAUCCUGCUGAAAGGUAGGAGUGCCUAAGGGAACGCGGARACAGGUGGUGCAUGGCUGUCGUCASCUCGUGUCGUGAGAUGUUGGGUUAAGUCCCGCAMCGAGCGCAACCCUCGUCCUUAGUUGCCAUCAUUAAGUUGGGAACUCUAGGGAGACUGCCGGGGACAACUCGGAGGAAGGUGGG